GACGAACGCUGGCGGCGUGCUUAACACAUGCAAGUCGAACGGAAAGGCCCUGCUUUUGUGGGGUGCUCGAGUGGCGAACGGGUGAGUAACACGUGAGUAACCUGCCCUUGACUUUGGGAUAACUUCAGGAAACUGGGGCUAAUACCGGAUAGGAGCUCCUGCUGCAUGGUGGGGGUUGGAAAGUUUCGGCGGUUGGGGAUGGACUCGCGGCUUAUCAGCUUGUUGGUGGGGUAGUGGCUUACCAAGGCUUUGACGGGUAGCCGGCCUGAGAGGGUGACCGGCCACAUUGGGACGGAGAUACGGCCCAGACUCCAACGGGAGGCAGCAGUGGGGAAUAUUGCACAAUGGGCGGAAGCCUGAUGCAGCAACGCCGCGUGCGGGAUGACGGCCUUCGGGUUGUAAACCGCUUUCGCCUGUGACGAAGCGUGAGUGACGGUAAUGGGUAAAGAAGCACCGGCUAACUACGUG
rnacentral:rRNA from 1 species